rnacentral:lncRNA from 1 species
GGAGUCUUGCUCAGUCACCCAGGCUAGAGUGCAGUGCACAAUCUCAGCUCACUGCAACCUCCACCUCCCGGGUUCACGCCAUUCUCCCGCCUCAGCCUCCCGAGUAGCUGGGACUACAGAUGUCCUCCACGAUGCCCGACUAAUUUUUUUUUUUUUUUUGUAUUUUUAAUAGAGACGGGGUUUCACCAUGUUAGCCAGGAUGGUCUCGAUCUCCUGACUUCGAGAUCCACCCACCUCGGCCUCCCAAAGUGCUGGGAUUACAGGCAUGAGCCACCACACCCGGCGACUCAUUCUUAUACAACUACCUUUGUCAGCAUUCUUGCCAUUGGACUGUCUAGCCCUUGAUGCUGUUAUAUCAUGGCUUGUUGAUACAGAAGAUGCUACAUGAACUCAAGUGGAACUCUGACUGCCUUGAGAGCAUCCCACCAUCCAUUGCUGCUGCAUCAAGGUAUUAAAAAGAGAGACAGAAGGAAGAGGAACUGAAACAACUGUUGAAGGCCCAAUCCCACGAACCAGGCCCACCUCUAUUCAACCCAGGGGACCUAGUACUGGUAAAGGCUCCAGAAGCAGACCAGCAGACUAGCAGACAAGCAGAUGGACAGUGGAACGACGUGGCAGAGAGAGAGAGAAGAGGAGGAACAUCUGAACACUGAGGGGAGUUUGCCCAGGGGCGAUCGGAGAAGAUACCAGCUACUGGAUGGCCCGCCUCCAAGGGAAGAUCACCUUCCCACUCCAUUUCCCUUUCCAGUCCCCAAUCCAUCUCACUGAGAGCCACCUCCACCACUCAAUAAAAUCUUG